rnacentral:rRNA from 1 species
GUGUCAGCAGCCGCGGUAAUACGUAGGGUCCGAGCGUUGUCCGGAAUUAUUGGGCGUAAAGGGCUCGUAGGCGGUUUGUUGCGUCGGGAGUGAAAACUCGGAGCUUAACUCCGAGCUUGCUUCCGAUACGGGCAGACUAGAGGUAGGCAGGGGAGAGCGGAACUCCUGGUGUAGCGGUGGAAUGCGCAGAUAUCAGGAAGAACACCGGUGGCGAAGGCGGCUCUCUGGGCCUAUUCUGACGCUGAGGAGCGAAAGCGUGGGUAGCGAACAGGAUUAGAUACCCUUGUAGUCC